GACGAACGCUGGCGGCGUGCUUAACACAUGCAAGUCGAACGGAAAGGCCCUGCUUUUGUGGGGUGCUCGAGUGGCGAACUGGUGAGUAACACGUGAGUAACCUGCCCUUGACUUUGGGAUAACUUCAGGAAACUGGGGCUAAUACCGGAUAGGAGCUCCUGCUGCAUGGUGGGGGUUGGAAAGUUUCGGCGGUUGGGGAUGGACUCGCGGCUUAUCAGCUUGUUGGUGGGGUAGUGGCUUACCAAGGCUUUGACGGGUAGCCGGCCUGAGAGGGUGACCGGCCACAUUGGGACUGAGAUACGGCCCAGACUCCUACGGGAGGCAGCAGUGGGGAAUAUUGCACAAUGGACGGAAGCCUGAUGCAGCAACGCCGCGUGCGGGAUGACGGCCUUCGGGUUGUAAACCGCUUUCGCCUGUGACGAAGCGUGAGUGACGGUAAUGGGUAAAGAAGCACCGGCUAACUACGUG
rnacentral:rRNA from 1 species